CCCAGUUCUCUUGGGUCCCCGUCCUUCCUUCUGUCCACCAGCCCGCAUUGGCUCUCAUCCGUGGCGCCAGGCCCUCGGAAGCGAAGGAGGAGGGGAGCCUGCCCACGGGUAGCACAAGCCUGCUGACCACCGACACUUCUCUCCCUGCAGGUGGAGGAGUGGGAGUGCCGCCAGCUGCAGGAAACCGUCCGCCUGGACAGCCUCCCCAGGGAUCCAGCUCCUUAUCGCCUCCUGGAGAAGGAAACCCUAUACCAGUGCUACGACCUCUUUCACCUCCUCCGUCUCCGGACGGCCUAUGUGACCAACCAUCGGGGCCAGCUGGUGGGCGUGGUGGCUCUCAAGGAGCUCAAGGCGGCCAUCGAAGUGUGCGUCAGCGGCACCUUAACCACCAAAUCCCAACAUCAGUCACGCGAGCUGGGAAUCCGGGAACGGAAGCCAUCGGAGGAGGUGGAACUCACAAGCCCCCCAGCAUAAAGUGGGAUGGAGGGGGGGGCAGGCCGUCAGGAGCAACCCCCCCAAAAAAAACCUCCCUGAAAGUCUGUGCAACCUCUUGUCGCGUGGCGUGACUCUUCACCCGCCCAGCCUUGCCCCCGACGGACAACAGACGAUGCCUGAAGGGUGAAAUAGGGUGGGAGACGGAGGCUGCUGCAAGAAAGAAUCACCAGAAAGGGGCAGAUGAUCGACCAACGAGGGGAAGGAGAAGCAUUUGGGAAAACGCAAAGGAUGGGAGUUUUCAGGGAACGUGACAGAGACAGCCUCCAAACCUCCCCGUUUUUUGUUUAGUAUUUUUGAGGACAAAAAACGGUCUCCUGAUGCCAUCUAGAUAGUGUGAGGGACUACUUACUCCCCAGCACCCUCUGGCCGAUGCUCCCUGCCAAAGUUUAAAUUUAAAAGAAUUCACCACUAGAGGGCGAAAGGGGGACUUUCCCAGUACUAAAAAAAAUGUAUAAUUUCUAAAUAUAAAGGGGAAAAUGGGAGUCUGGGAAGGAAAUAAAGCUCUCCAAGGUUCAGAAAAAAUGGUGAUG
rnacentral:lncRNA from 1 species